rnacentral:tRNA from 1 species
GCCCGGGUGGCGGAAUUGGCAGACGCGCUAGAUUCAGGUUCUAGUUCCUGUAAUGGGAGUGGAGGUUCGAGUCCUCUUCCGGGUACCA